AAUGCGUAAUAGGCUCUGAGAGAGGAGAUGAAUCAGAUGAAACUGAAGUAACAGGCUGUGAGAGAGUCUCAGAUGCAGUUUUAGAUGCUUCUCCUUGAGUGUCAGAACUAGCAUUAAUAGAAAUAAACUCUCCCUGAGUAUCAGUUCCACCAUUUAUACCAACAUCCACAGUAAUAGGACUCCCUCCAGAGAACUCCCCCUCUCGACCAGUUCUAGAGGUG
rnacentral:lncRNA from 1 species